AUGGAUCACAAAUUCCUGGAGGGUUUUAAACCCGUAAAUAUCGAAUCGUAUGAUGGUACAACAGAUCCUGCUGUAUGGAUUGAGGAUUUUCUCCUCCACAUCCACAUGGCCCACGGUGAUGAUCUGCAUGCCAUCAAGUACCUCCCACUAAAACUCAAAGGACCAACUCGGCAUUGGCUGAAUAGCUUGCCAGCAGACUCUGUCGGCAGUUCGGAGGAUCUGGAAGAUGCAUUCCUUGACAACUUCCAGGGCACUUAUAUGCGACCACCGGAUGCUGAUGACUUGAGCCAUAUAACUCAGCAGCCAGGGGAAUCGGCCAGGCAAUUCUGGACAUGGUUCCUAACUAAGAAAAACCAAAUUGUCAACUGUCCGGAUGCAGAGGCCUUAGCGGCAUUCAAGCAUAACAUCCGUGACGAGUGGCUCGCCCGGCACCUCGGCCAGGAGAAGCCGAAGUCUAUGGCAGCCUUCACGACACUCAUGACCCGCUUUUGCACGGGCGAGGAUAGCUGGCUGGCUCGCAGCAACAACACAUCAAGGAAUCCGGGCACUUCGGAUACCAAAGAUGCCAACAGCAGACCACGUCGUAAUAGACAAAAGCGCCGCAACAACGGCGAUAACACCGAUGAUACGACAGUCAAUGCCGGAUUCAGAGGCUCUAGAUCCGGUCAGUGA
rnacentral:rRNA from 1 species